rnacentral:lncRNA from 1 species
UAGCCGCCAGACACCCCCACUGGAGAAGAAGAGUCAGCAGCCUGCCGCCGCGUCAGAGCCACUUCCGACUGCAAAAAAAAGUAAAAAUUUUAUUUUUUGUUUGGAAUUCAAUUUUAAACACCCUCAUGGCUAAUAAGAGCAAAAUGACCAGCGGAAUGGCCGAAAAUUGCGGGCAAAGCUCAACAGCACCGCCGCAGAAAAUUACAAAAACUGCCUCUGAUGAGGCCCUUCCCGACUCCGUUCUGCAUAAUUCUUCCACCAUUAUAAAUACCGUU